rnacentral:rRNA from 1 species
AGUGAACGCUGGCGGCGUGCCUAACACAUGCAAGUCGAACGUCAAAAGGGAAAGCUGAUUAUAUUGCCGUACGGGUGAGUAACGCGUAGGUAAUCUACCCCAGAAUCUGGAAUAACCUGCCGAAAGGCGGGCUAAUACUGGAUCUAGCGAGGCAUCUCGUAUGAGAGUUUUUCGGGAAAGUGAGCCCGCAAUGGCCUUCGUUCUGAGCUGAUCCGGCGUCUCAUUAGCUAGUUGGUAAGGUAACGGCUUACCAAGGCGACGAUGCGUAGCUGGUCUGAGAGGAUGAUCAGCCACACUGGAACUGAGACACGGUCCAGACUCCUACGGGAGGCAGCAGUGGGGAAUAUUGCACAAUGGGCGAAAGCCUGAUGCAGCCAUACCGCGUGAGUGAAGAAGGCCUUCGGGUUGUAAAGCCCUUUUGUUGGGGAAGAAAAGCAUCAGGGUGAAACGCUGUGGGUCUGACCGUAACCAAAGAAGAAGGCACGGCCUAACUCCUG